GUGAGGAAUUUUCCGCAAUGGGCGAAAGCCUGACGGAGCAAUGCCGCGUGAAGGAUGAAGGCCUAUGGGUUGUAAACUUCUUUUCUCAGAAAAGAAUUAUGACGGUAUCUGAGGAAUAAGCAUCGGCUAACUCUGUGCCAGCAGCCGCGGUAAGACAGAGGAUGCAAGCGUUAUCCGGAAUGAUUGGGCGUAAAGCGUCUGUAGGUUGUUUAAAAAGUAUUCUGUCAAAGAUUAGGGCUUAACCCUAGAUAGGAAGAAUAAACUUUUAAGCUAGAGUUUGGUAGAGGCAGAGGGAAUUCCCGGUGGAGCGGUGAAAUGCGUAGAUAUCGGGAGGAACACCAAAGGCGAAGGCACUCUGCUGGGCCAAUACUAACACUGAGAGACGAAAGCGAGGGGAGCAAAUGGGAUUAGAAACCCGAGUAGUCC
rnacentral:rRNA from 1 species